rnacentral:tRNA from 1 species
UCAGUCGGUAGAGCGACGGACUGUUAAUCCGCAGGUCGCUGGUUCGAGCCCAGCUCGGGGAGCCA